rnacentral:tRNA from 8 species
GCGGCUUGCUCGACUCAUAAUAUAA